rnacentral:rRNA from 1 species
UACGUAGGGGGCAAGCGUUGUCCGGAUUUAUUGGGCGUAAAGAGCGUGUAGGCGGCCUGACAGGUCUGCUGUGAAAACUCGAGGCUCAACCUCGAGAUGUCGGCGGAAACCGUCUGGCUAGAGUCCGGAAGAGGAGAGUGGAAUUCCUGGUGUAGCGGUGAAAUGCGCAGAUAUCAGGAAGAACACCUAUGGCGAAGGCAGUUCUCUGGGACGGUACUGACGCUGAGACGCGAAAGCGUGGGGAGCGAACAGG